GUGCUCACUUCGGCAGCACAUACGCUAAAACUGGAACAUUACAGAGAUUAGCAUGGCCCUUGUGCAAGGAAGACAUGCAAAUUCGUGACGCAUUCCAAAAAAAA